rnacentral:rRNA from 1 species
UGGGGAAUAUUGGACAAUGGGCGCAAGCCUGAUCCAGCCAUGCCGCGUGAGUGAUGAAGGCCUUAGGGUUGUAAAGCUCUUUCGCCGGUGAAGAUAAUGACGGUAACCGGAGAAGAAGCCCCGGCUAACUUCGUGCCAGCAGCCGCGGUAAUACGAAGGGGGCUAGCGUUGCUCGGAAUCACUGGGCGUAAAGCGCACGUAGGCGGAUCGUUAAGUCAGGGGUGAAAUCCUGGAGCUCAACUCCAGAACUGCCCUUGAUACUGGCGAUCUCGAGUUCGAGAGAGGUUGGUGGAACUCCGAGUGUAGAGGUGAAAUUCGUAGAUAUUCGGAAGAACACCAGUGGCGAAGGCGGCCAACUGGCUCGAUACUGACGCUGAGGUGCGAAAGCGUGGGGAGCAAAACAGGAUUAGAUACCCUGGUAGUCCACGCCGUAAACGAUGGAUGCUAGCCGUUGGGGGGUUUGACCUCUCAGUGGCGCAGCUAACGCCUUAAGCAUCCCGCCUGGGGAGUACGGUCGCAAGAUUAAAACUCAAAUGAA